CUCCGUAGGCAGCAGGAAGCGCUCGGUCAGCUAGCUCGGCGUAGCCUCAAUGGCGCAAGACGUCGAUGAUGUUGAACAGUCAUCAGCCGUCCGAGUUCGUCGUGGCUACGGCUGUCCAUUUAACC